rnacentral:rRNA from 1 species
CCUACGGGUGGCAGCAGUGAGGAAUAUUGCUCAAUGGGCGCGAGCCUGAACCAGCGAAGCCGCGUGAGGGAUGACGGUCCUACGGAUUGUAAACCCCUUUUGCCGGGGAGCAAGUGUGCGUUCGUGAACGCGCGUCGAGAGUACCCGGAGAAAAAGCAUCGGCAAACUCCGUUCUAGCAGCCGCGGUAUCACGGUGGAUGAGAACGUUAUCUGGAUUUAUUGGGUUUAAAGGGGGCGUAGGCGUGAUGCAAACUCAGCGGUAAAAAUGCGGUGCACAACGCCGUAGGGCCGUUGAAACUGGGGAACUUGAGUGAGCGAGAGGUAAGCGGAAUGCGUGGUGUAGCGGUGAAAUGCGUAGAUAUCACGAGGAACUCCAGUUGCGAAGGCAGCAUACCGGCGCCCUACUGACGCUGAGGCACGAAAGCGUGGGUAGCGAACAGGAUUAGAUACCCUUGUAGUC